rnacentral:rRNA from 1 species
UACAGAGGGGGCAAGCGUUGUUCAGAAUUACUGGGCGUAAAGGGCGCGUAGGCGGCCGCCUAAGUCAGACGUGAAAUCCCUCGGCUCAACCGGGGAACUGCGUCUGAUACUGGGUGGCUUGAAUUCGGGAGAGGGAUGCGGAAUUCCAGGUGUAGCGGUGAAAUGCGUAGAUAUCUGGAGGAACACCGGUGGCGAAGGCGGCAUCCUGGACCGAGAUUGACGCUGAAGCGCGAAAGCCAGGGGAGCAAACGGG